UAAAGACGAGCUCACACCCUACCUAACUAAAAUGUACAAACAAUGGACAGAGGGAGAAGCACCUCAUCAAGACCUCCUGACAGCGGACAUAACCCUUAUUCCCAAACCAGAUAGAGACAACACACAUCACCAAAUACCGCCCCAUAUCCCUUAUAAACUUUGACCUGAAGACAUACGCCAAAUUAUUAGCCAACAGAUUGAACCCGCUUCUUGCCAG